UGGGAAAUUCCCGGGCGGAGGUGAGGAGGCUGCCGCGGCGGUCAGCUGAGCAGCGCUGGGCGGGGUCGCGAGGCCGCAAAUCAACCUAAAGCUCGCCAACCCCCGCCGCCGCCCCGGCCGGUCCCCCGCUUGGCCUUUGCGUCUGGGUCCGGAGCCCUCUCCCAGCGGGAAUGAUGCCCAGGAAGCAGUGACCCGAGGGAGGCCGGAGCCCGCGCGCCGGAACUGCUGCCAUGUCCCACCAACCGCUUAGCUGCCUGACUGAGAAGGGGGACAGCCCCAACGAAACCACAGGAAAUGGACCCCCCAAUCUGGCUCCCCCAAACCUGGACACGUUCACCCCACACGAGCUGCUGCAGCAGAUGAGAGAGCUUCUAAUCGAGAACCAUCAGCUGAAAGAAGCCAUGAAGCUAAACAAUCAAGCUAUGAAAGGACGAUUUGAGGAGCUUUCAGCUUGGACAGAGAAGCAGAAGGAAGAACGCCUUUAUUUUGAGACUCAAAGCAAAGAAGCCAAAGAGCGCUUAACAGCACUGAGCCUUGAAAAUGAAAAACUGAAGCAAGAACUUGGAAAAUUAACAGGGAAAACUGAAAGGGCAUUUGAGGACAUCACUGGGGACCCCAAGGUCCCCAAGGCAGAAGUGGAACAAGAAGUGGAACAGCUGAAGACCCAGGUGGCACGCCUCCAAGCUGAAAAGGCAGAUCUUCUGGGCAUCGUGUCUGAAUUGCAACUCAAGCUGAAUUCAAGCGGCUCCUCUGAAGACUCCUUUGUUGAAAUCAGGAUGGCUGAGGGCGAAGCAGAUGUGGCAGCAAAAGAAAUCAAGACAAGUCCUAGGCCCACAAGAACUCAUUCUGUUGACAGGAGCAAAUCUGCAGAAGGUACCAGGAAUUACGUGGAGUUUGAGGAAUUAACUGUGAGCCAGCUCCUGCAUUGUCUAAGGGAAGGAAACCAGAAGGUGGAGAGACUUGAAAUUGCCCUCAAGGAAGCCAAAGAAAGAAUUUCUGAUUUUGAAAAGAAAGCCAAGGAUCAUUCUGAGACUGAGACCCAGACAGAGGAGCACACAGAACAAGAGAAAGAAGAGGAGAAAGACACCAAAACUAUUGGAAGUGAAGUGGAAACACUGAACCUUCAGGUGACAACCCUGUUUAAGGAGCUUCAGGAAGCUCACACAAAACUCAGUGAAGCUGAGCUAAUGAAGAAGAGACUUCAAGAAAAAUGUCAGGCCCUUGAAAGGAAAAAUUCUGCAAGCCCAUCAGAGCUGAAUGAAAAACAAGAGCUGGUUUAUAAAAACAAAAAAUUAGAGCUCCAAGUAGAAAGCAUGCGAUCAGAAAUCAAAAUGGAACAAGCUAAAACAGAAGAUGAAAAGUCCAAAUUAGGCACUCUACAGUUGACACACAACAGGCUUCUUCAAGAAUACAAUAAUGCACUGAAGACAAUUGAGGAACUAAAAAGGAGAGAGUCAGAAAAAGUGGAUAAGGUGGUGCUGCAGGAACUGAGUGGGAAGCUGGAACUGGCAGAGAAGGCCCUGGCUUCCAAGCAGCUCCAAAUGGAUGGGAUGAAGCAGACCAUCGCCAAGCAGGAGAAGGACCUGGAGACCAUGGCCGUCCUCAGGGCUCAGAUGGAGGUUUAUUGUUCUGAUUUUCAUGCUGAAAGAGCAGCAAGAGAGAAGAUUCAUGAAGAAAAGGAGCAGCUGGCAUUGCAGCUGGCAGUUCUGCUGAGAGAAAACAAUGAUUUCGAAGAUGGAGGCAGCAGGCAGACCUUGAUGGAAAUGCAGAGCCGUCACGGGGCGAGAGCAAGUGAUGCUGACCAGCAGGCUUAUCUCGUUCAAAGAGAUCAGUCUGAAUCCCUUCCACAUACCAACUGACCAUUGAAAUGGAGCUAUCAGUGUGAUUAUCAACAGCAAGGAAGCAAUAUAGAGCCGAGGAUAGAAACUGGCUGCAGCAGCAACAGAAUAUUCCAAUUCAUUCUUGCCCCAAAUGUGGAGAAGUUCUGCCCGACAUAGAUACACUACUGAUUCAUGUUACGGACUGUAUCAUUUAAGUGUUGACCUUUCACCUCCCCCAAGCUGUUGGUAAAUCUCAUUUUUUUUCCUCCAA